rnacentral:lncRNA from 1 species
GACUGGUUCGAGGCAGAGAGGCGACGCUUUAUUCCAUAGAACAGGAUGGGGCACCAUAAGCUCUAAUGCGUCGGCGGCCAAAUACUUGGCAGUUUUGCUCCCAGCGUGAAUCCGGCCGGCGUCUGGCUCUCGAGAAUCCUGGAGAAAAGGCAAGGGUGUAUAUACGUGGGCUGUGCUGACGGUCACAAAGCCAGGUCUCAGGUUCCAGCAACCAGAGGCACUUCACCUAUCCCUGAGCGGAACUUCAGCCCCUCACUUUGCUUCCUGCUGCGCCCCAGAGCCCAGACAAGGGGGCGCUCAGUGAAUGACUGAGGAUCACACACACGCUCCGUCAUGUGCUCAUGAAGAAGUAGGCCCUGGCGUGGUCCACCCCCCAGCCCCUUGGUGGAAGUCCUGUUCAGUUGGACCUAUCGGCCCCAGGAGACCUGACUGAGAAGGUGGCCCUGAUGACGUGGCCCACAGGCCACCACAGAGUGGAGGUGGCAGAGCCUCUGGUGGGGAGCUGGGCAAACUGAGUACCAACCCUACUCUGCACCUCCUCUGUGGGGCCUGGGGGUGCUGAGCACUCUGGGGCUCAGGGGGUCCUUCAGUAGCAGCAAGAGGUGUCCCUGGCUUGGCCCCACCAACCACCUGGCAUGAUCUGGCACAUGUUCUCCAAACAUCCGUCCUGAAGCACUGCAGCCUGUGGCCCUCACUGCUUGCCUGGGAACUUCAUUCCAGCAGGCCUUGGUGCUUCCACUUCCUGUCUGAAUGUGGACUUUCCCCAGUGGGACUACAGCUUAUCACCCAUGCCUUCAGCACCACUGUCCCUGGCUGUGCCAUCUAGGGACUGAGCAACCCUCGAGGGGCCACAGGCUACUGUUGAAAGGGAACCAGAGGCCACUUAGUACAAGGUCUGCAGGCCCCACCAGGAACUUUACCCCCGGGGGUAAGAAUCUGGGCCUGCAAGUCUGGAACCAGUUCAUCUGGUCCAAAAUCUUCAAGAGGCGGCCUGAGACCAUCCUCACGAUUGUACCAAUAGUGCUCCUUCAAUCCAAAUCACAUGCUUCCUUGAAUUCAUGAAGGCCAGAAAAACCUGUCCAGCCCUCUGCUGCAGACUUAGUCCCAGGGUUAGUCCCAUAGUCCACCAUGACUCUCCCGUGCCCUUCAUGCGGAGGAGAAGCAGAAACCACUGAGGCCCAGUGGCUGCUCGGAACAGGGCAGUGGGGGGUGGCCUCACAGCCCCAGGGUCCCUGUUCACACCCUGAAACACGGCUGACGUCCUAGCUCCAGCCCGGGACGCAUCGAUUCUCAAGAGGCAUCACUACUGUUCAGUCUGUGCCAGGAGAGGAAGCUCUUUGAGUGGGGCCCAGGCUAUUCCCAGGGCCAAAAGUGUGUUAGGUACUUGAUGAGGAGCUACAUAAACUUCUCCUGGAUUUUUGCAGAGCACAAGUCAGUGAGGAGAAGGAAGAGGCCAUGGGUCACACACUGAGGAACUUCAUCGGUUCCCAUUCAUGCCAGGCCUCCCUCAAGGCACCCCAUGGUAGGAAAAGCACUGAGCCCAGGGGUGGGGUGAGGGGCCCCUGCCCUGCAAGGCCCAGCUCCACGUGCCAGGCUGAGCUGGGGAUGUUACUGGACACCCAGGGCCAUCACAUCUACAUGACAAGGUAAGCGGGGUUCCCGUCUCACAGACAGGUCAGGACACGUAGGGAGCUCACACUUUGAGGCCCGAGAUAUGCUCUCUGACUGCAUGACAGUGACGGACGGGCCCUGAGGACAGCCACCUCUGCUAAGACAGGCCGCCAUGCCAGCCUCCUCCAUAACUAAACAGUAUAACAGGGAGGCUUUCCAUGACCACGCCCAGGUACCAGGCCAGGUGGCUCUCCCCACAGCAGGGAGGGGCUCGCCACAACCCUCAUCACCAGCAAAUCAGGGCCUUGGCAGACACAGAAAGGCUCUAAUCUCAUGAGAAGAGAAACAAAAACACUAAACCUAAGCAGGAAGAAAAACGCCCUCAUACUCUACCUGUCUCCAGGACACCUGGUGCAGCAAAGAGGCGACCUUUUCCUCCAGUUCUUGAAUCCUACUUUGAG